UACGUAGGGACCAAGCGUUGUUCGGAUUUACUGGGCGUAAAGGGCGCGUAGGCGGCCCGGUAAGUCCGCUGUAAAAGUCAAAGGCUCAACCUUUGAAUGUCAGUGGAUACUGCCGGGCUAGAGUCCGGAAGAGGCGAGUGGAACUCCUGGUGUAGCGGUGGAAUGCGCAGAUAUCAGGAGGAACACCGGUGGCGAAGGCGGGUCUCUGGGCCGACAUUGACGCUGGAGGAGCGAAAGCGUGGGGAGCGAACAGG
rnacentral:rRNA from 1 species